rnacentral:rRNA from 1 species
UGGGGAAUUUUGGACAAUGGGGGCAACCCUGAUCCAGCCAUGCCGCGUGAGUGAAGAAGGCCUUCGGGUUGUAAAGCUCUUUCGGCCGGGAAGAAAUCGCGCCUGUGAAUAAUGGGCGUGGAUGACGGUACCGGAAGAAGAAGCACCGGCUAACUACGUGCCAGCAGCCGCGGUAAUACGUAGGGUGCGAGCGUUAAUCGGAAUUACUGGGCGUAAAGCGUGCGCAGGCGGCCUGACAAGACAGCUGUGAAAGCCCCGGGCUUAACCUGGGAACUGCGGUUGUGACUGUCAGGCUAGAGUGUGGCAGAGGGGGGUGGAAUUCCACGUGUAGCAGUGAAAUGCGUAGAGAUGUGGAGGAACACCGAUGGCGAAGGCAGCCCCCUGGGUCGUCACUGACGCUCAUGCACGAAAGCGUGGGGAGCAAACAGG